GCCUGGGUAGCUCAGUCGGUUGAGCGUCCGACUUCGGCUCAGGUCAUGAUCUUGCGGUCUGUGAGUUCGAGCCCCACGUCGGGCU
rnacentral:tRNA from 1 species